GCAAACUUGGUCAUUUAGAGGAAGUAAAAGUCGUAACAAGGUUUCCGUAGGUGAACCUGCGGAAGGAUCAUUAGUGAAUAUUAGCGCAUCUCUUCGGAGAGCGUGACCUCCACUUUCUAACUCUGUGCAUUUAUUUGGCGGUUCCGAUGGUUGGCCAGUUUUCGAAUUGGCCACUUGACGGACUGCGGCUCAUUUUAUAACACUAGUUAAAGUAUGUAACGAAAUAUCGAAACAAAAAAAAACUUUCAACAACGGAUCUCUUGGCUUGCUCAUCGAUGAAGAACGCAGC
rnacentral:misc_RNA from 1 species